rnacentral:rRNA from 1 species
UGGCUCAGGAUGAACGCUGGCGGCGUGCUUAACACAUGCAAGUCGAACGGUGAAGCCAAGCUUGCUUGGUGGAUCAGUGGCGAACGGGUGAGUAACACGUGAGCAACCUGCCCCGGACUCUGGGAUAAGCGCUGGAAACGGUGUCUAAUACUGGAUAUGAACAGCGGCCGCAUGGCCAGUUGUUGGAAAGAUUUUUCGGUCUGGGAUGGGCUCGCGGCCUAUCAGCUUGUUGCUGAGGUAAUGGCUCACCAAGGCGUCGACGGGUAGCCGGCCUGAGAGGGUGACCGGCCACACUGGGACUGAGACACGGCCCAGACUCCUACGGGAGGCAGCAGUGGGGAAUAUUGCACAAUGGGCGGAAGCCUGAUGCAGCAACGCCGCGUGAGGGAUGACGGCCUUCGGGUUGUAAACCUCUUUUAGCAAGGAAGAAGCGGAAGUGACGUACUUGCAG